CCAUACGGUACAAAUGCUGCGUGCAAAAUGGUAAAAAAUUCUGAAAAUAGCGUCGUGAAUCCUACUACAUGAACAUUUGUAAGAAGGCAACGACAUAACAAUGGCCGGCAUGUACACAAAAAAACGCUGUUGUCCAUUUUGCAUGUACACAAUUUCAUUGUGGCCAUACUAAUACCCUGCAAGACGGAGGUAACAGAUUGCACAAACACAUUGAAACAUUUUCAGCUGUUCACUAACACUGUUACAUUUUCUGGAAUUUUCAAUUGAAUGGGAAAAUACAAUAGGAGAGACGAAUGCCCAAUUUUUCAAGAAGAAGAAAUCGAAAAGCGCAGUUUAUUUUGGAUUUUAAAGAUAGUAAACGAAAAAGCUUAACAAGGAGAAAAAGAAAUCAUUUGGAGCAUUUGGAUGCAUAUAACAAAGACUCACCAUUCAAUUAGCCGCAUCACCGGUGACUUGGAGGACGAGCAUU